UGAGGGGGGCUGCUCCUAGUACGAGAGGACCGGAGUGGACGCAUCACUGGUGUUCGGGUUGUCAUGCCAAUGGCACUGCCCGGUAGCUAAAUGCGGAAGAGAUAAGUGCUGAAAGCAUCUAAGCACGAAACUUGCCCCGAGAUGAGUUCUCCCUGACUCCUUGAGAGUCCUGAAGGAACGUUGAAGACGACGACGUUGAUAGGCCGGGUGUGUAAGCGCAGCGAUGCGUUGAGCUAACCGGUACUAAUGAACCGUGAGGCUUAACCUUACAACGCCGAAGAUGUUUUG
rnacentral:rRNA from 1 species